rnacentral:rRNA from 1 species
GACGAACGCUGGCGGCGUGCUUAACACAUGCAAGUCGAACGCUGAAGCUUGGUGCUUGCACUGGGUGGAUGAGUGGCGAACGGGUGAGUAAUACGUGAGUAACCUGCCCUUGACUCUGGGAUAAGCCUGGGAAACUGGGUCUAAUACUGGAUACGACAUGUCACCGCAUGGUGGUGUGUGGAAAGGGUUUUACUGGUUUUGGAUGGGCUCACGGCCUAUCAGCUUGUUGGUGGGGUAAUGGCUCACCAAGGCGACGACGGGUAGCCAGCCUGAGAGGGUGACCGGCCACACUGGGACUGAGACACGGCCCAGACUCCUACGGGAGGCAGCAGUGGGGAAUAUUGCACAAUGGGCGGAAGCCUGAUGCAGCGACGCCGCGUGAGGGAUGACGGCCUUCGGGUUGUAAACCUCUUUCAGCACGGAAGAAGCGAAAGUGACGGUACGUGCAGAAGAAGCGCCGGCUAACUACGUG